rnacentral:rRNA from 1 species
GACGAACGCUGGCGGCGUGCCUAAUACAUGCAAGUUGAGCGAUGAAGAUUGGUGCUUGCACCAAUUUGAAGAGCAGCGAACGGGUGAGUAACGCGUGGGGAAUCUGCCUUUGAGCGGGGGACAACAUUUGGAAACGAAUGCUAAUACCGCAUAACAACUUUAAACAUAAGUUUUAAGUUUGAAAGAUGCAAUUGCAUCACUCAAAGAUGAUCCCGCGUUGUAUUAGCUAGUUGGUGAGGUAAAGGCUCACCAAGGCGAUGAUACAUAGCCGACCUGAGAGGGUGAUCGGCCACAUUGGGACUGAGAAACGGCCCAAACUCCUACGGGAGGCAGCAGUAGGGAAUCUUCGGCAAUGGACGAAAGUCUGACCGAGCAACGCCGCGUGAGUGAAGAAGGUUUUCGGAUCGUAAAACUCUGUUAGUAGAGAAGAACGUUGGUGAGAGUGGAAAGCUCAUCAAGUGACGGUAACUACCCAGAAAGGGACGGCUAACUACGUG